rnacentral:lncRNA from 1 species
UUAUAACGAAUGGCAGAACACUUUCACAAAACAGGACAUACCAACAUUUAGAGGUAGACGAGAUUCAAACUGCUUCACUCGUGUUGAUACGUAAUGUACUCUUAAUUGUAAGUCUCUUAAUUUCAACAUUUCAACAAAGACUUUUAAGGAUCAGCAACCGAUACCAAAUUCCCCAAAUAAAAAAAAAAAAAAAAAUACAAUGAUAUUUGACAAAAAAAAAAACGAUUGACAUGCUAAGUUUUAUGACCUCAGACAGACAGAAAGACAUGUGUUCAUAUAAAACAGUGUUGCUUCAGAC